AGUGAACGCUGGCGGUAGGCCUAACACAUGCCAGUCGAACGGCAGCACAGUAAGAGCUUGCUCUUACGGGUGGCGAGUGGCGGACGGGUGAGGAAUACAUCGGAAUCUACUUUUUCGUGGGGGAUAACGUAGGGAAACUUUCGCUAAUACCGCAUACGACCUACGGGUGAAAGCAGGGGAUCUUCGGACCUUGCGCGAUUGAAUGAGCCGAUGUCGGAUUAGCUAGUUGGCGGGGUAAAGGCCCACCAAGGCGACGAUCCGUAGCUGGUCUGAGAGGAUGAUCAGCCACACUGGAACUGAGACACGGUCCAGACUCCUACGGGAGGCAGCAGUGGGGAAUAUUGGACAAUGGGCGCAAGCCUGAUCCAGCCAUACCGCGUGGGUGAAGAAGGCCUUCGGGUUGUAAAGCCCUUUUGUUGGGAAAGAAAAGCAGCAGGUUAAUACCCCGCUGUUCUGACGGUACCCAAAGAAUAAGCACCGGCUAACUUCGUG
rnacentral:rRNA from 1 species